UAACUUUCAAACCGUAAACCUAAACCGUGAUCCGCUCUUUCCUGUGGUUUCGUAUGACUGUUGUUGAUACUCCCACCAAAUUUUUUAAUUUUCUGUGUUGAUUUGCCACUCCGUUUAUGCUCUGAAUCAAGACAGACGAAGAACAAAUUUUUUGGGUUGAUUUGCCACUCCUGCACUAUUCCUCCCUGUAACCAAAUAAGUUUAACAUUAUACACUCAUUUCAUUGAAAUCAAACAAGAUAAUCUAAACUAAAACAUAAACAUAAAAGUUGGUUACCAAGAACUCCACACUAUGAACCCCACCAUUGGAGGAGGAAAAAAAUAAAGACUCCUAAUAAGGUUCUUAGCUUGUAA
rnacentral:lncRNA from 1 species